ACGGGGAGCAGCAGGCGCGAAACCUUUACACUGCACGGAAGUGCGAUAAGGGGACCCCAAGUGCGAGGGCAUACAGUCCUCGCUUUUCUGGACCGUAAGGAGGUUCAGGAACAAGAGCUGGGCAAGACCGGUGCCAGCCGCCGCGGUAAUACCGGCAGCUCGAGUGAUGGCCGCUAUUAUUGGGCCUAAAGCGUCCGUAGCCGGCCGGACAAGUCCGUCGGGAAAUCCACGUGCUUAACGCGUGGGCGUCCGGCGGAAACUGUUCGGCUUGGGGCCGGAAGACCCGAGGGGUACGUCCGGGGUAGGAGUGAAAUCCCGUAAUCCUGGACGGACCGCCGGUGGCGAAAGCGCCUCGGGAAGACGGACCCGACGUGAGGGACGAAAGCUAGGGUCUCGAACCGGAUUAGAUACCCGGGUAGUCCUAGCCGUAAACGAUGCCCGCUAGG
rnacentral:rRNA from 1 species